rnacentral:rRNA from 1 species
UACAGAGGGGGCAAGCGUUAUUCGGAAUUAUUGGGCGUAAAGGGCGCGUAGGCGGCUUGGCAAGUGGAAGGUGAAAUCCCUCGGCUUAACCGAGGAACUGCCCUCCAAACUGCUUCGCUUGAGACCGGGAGAGGUGAGUGGAAUUCCCAGUGUAGCGGUGAAAUGCGUAGAUAUUGGGAGGAACACCAGUGGCGAAGGCGGCUCACUGGACCGGUACUGACGCUGAUGCGCGAAAGCGUGGGGAGCGAACGGGG